AAGCUUGGCAUCUCAUACCAGGACAUAAAUUGCUCGUGUUGUUGAAAGGAAAAUCCAGUCGUUUGCCAACACUUGUGGGAGGAACGCUUGUUUGUACGUUCGAAAUCGUGUUGAAGACAUGUUGGAGAUGCGUGUGAUGGCGAUGAUGGUGGUUGUUGGAGCGUCAGCCAUCUCCCUCGCCAUGACUGUCCCAACCGGAAGCAAUAUUUUCCACGAGGAUGUGUUUUACAAGCCCGGGAAAUGCCCCAACACCACCGGGGUCAUGAGUCGCUGUCUCCUCACGGACGAAAACUGCUUCGCCGAUGACGAGUGUUUCGGGAGACUCAAGUGCUGUCCCUACGGCUGCCAUCGCGAGUGUUUGGAU
rnacentral:lncRNA from 1 species